CGGUGGCAACAGUGAGCUGAGAGUAAGAGAGAUCUAAAGGUGUUGAUGUUACAUGAACCCCAAAAAAUGUGGCUGUGUUACGGUACGUGAGCUUCACUGUGCAGUUCAUCGUCACCAUUUCGGUGCUCACUCCCGAGGAAUCCGUACCUGCGUGAACCCUGAAUUCGUUGAACGAUAUGCUCUGCCAAAAAAAUCAAUCCAUAAAUAAAUCAUGUCAAAUCUUGAAAUAAUAUUAUAAAGUUCUAACCUUCAUGGUGAUUUUAGGUUUUUGAGGUCUACUAGCACCCCAAAGGAUCAAAGAAAACGUAGUGAAAAGCACAAAGAAGCCGACCACAAAUGCGAGGAAAUAGCAACGACGACGAUGGAAGUCCUGGUGGGCGCCAUCACCAUCAAGUAAGCCUUCUUCUUCAAUGGCAUCGAACUCUUUCCAUGGCUUGCGACCCUUGCGAGAUCCGUCGUGCUUACGCUGUGGUUUCAUGGAUCCAGACAAGCGGGUUGAAGAAGACUCACGGGAGGAAUGAGGGCCUAAUGAAGAGUUGGAGUGAGAGUGAGGAGGUGAGCCCAUGGGGCUGAGCACCGGUGUGGAGUGGAAUGAGUUAGUGGUCUUUUCACCAUCAUGAG
rnacentral:lncRNA from 1 species